rnacentral:rRNA from 1 species
GAUGAACGCUAGCUACAGGCUUAACACAUGCAAGUCGAGGGGAAACGACAUCGAAAGCUUGCUUUUGAUGGGCGUCGACCGGCGCACGGGUGAGUAACGCGUAUCCAACCUGCCCAUCACUUGGGAAUAACCUUGCGAAAGUAAGACUAAUACCCAAUGAUAUCCCACGAAGGCAUCGGAAUGGGAUUAAAGAUUUAUCGGUGAUGGAUGGGGAUGCGUCUGAUUAGCUUGUUGGCGGGGUAACGGCCCACCAAGGCAACGAUCAGUAGGGGUUCUGAGAGGAAGGGCCCCGAGAGUGGAACUGAGACACGGGCCAAACUGCUACGGGAGGCAGCAGUGAGGAAUAUUGGUCAAUGGGCGAGAGCCUGAACCAGCCAAGUAGCGUGCAGGAAGACGGCCCUAUGGGUUGUAAACUGCUUUUAUAAGGGAAUAAAGUGGGUCGCGUGUGACUUUUUGCAUGUACCUUAUGAAUAAGGACCGGCUAAUUCCGUG